rnacentral:rRNA from 1 species
UUUGAAAUCUGGCCGUUCUUGUAGUGGUCCGAGUUGUAGUUUAGAGAAGUGCUAUCCGCGUUGGCCCAUGCAUAAGUUUCUUGGAAAAGAACAUCAUAGAGGGUGACAAUCCCGUCUUUGGCAUGGAUUACCAAGGCUUUUGUGAUGUGCUCUCGACGAAGUCGUGUUGUUUGGGAAUGCAGCACUAAAUGGGUGGUAAAUUCCAUCUAAAGCUAAAUAUUGGCGAGAGACCGAUAGCGAACAAGUACCGUGAGGGAAAGAUGAAAAGAACUUUGAAAAGAGAGUUAAACAGUACGUGAAAUUGUUGAAAGGGAAACGCUUGAAGUCAGUCAUGUCUUCCAGGGAUCAAGUUGCCUUUGGGUGACUGUACUUUCUGGUUGAUGGGUCAGCAUCAAUUUUAAUCAUUGGAUAAAGAUUUUGGGAAUGUGGCAUCCUUGGAUGUGUUAUAGACCUUGAUUGGAUACAAUGGUUAGGAUUGAGGAACUCAGUAUGCCUUCAUGGUUGGAGCUUUUGCUCACAUUGCAUGCUUAGGAUGCUGGCAAAAUGGCUUUAAUCGA